rnacentral:rRNA from 1 species
GAUGAACGCUGGCGGCGUGCCUAAUACAUGCAAGUCGAGCGAACAGACGAGGGGCUUGCUCCUCUGACGUUAGCGGCGGACGAGUGAGUAACACGUGGAUAACCUACCUAUAAGACUGGGAUAACUUCGGGAAACCGGAGCUAAUACCGGAUAAUAUAUUGAACCGCAUGGUUCAAUAGUGAAAGACGGUUUUGCUGUCACUUAUAGAUGGAUCCGCGCCGCAUUAGCUAGUUGGUAAGGUAACGGCUUACCAAGGCAACGAUGCGUAGCCGACCUGAGAGGGUGAUCGGCCACACUGGAACUGAGACACGGUCCAGACUCCUACGGGAGGCAGCAGUAGGGAAUCUUCCGCAAUGGGCGAAAGCCUGACGGAGCAACGCCGCGUGAGUGAUGAAGGUCUUCGGAUCGUAAAACUCUGUUAUUAGGGAAGAACAAAUGUGUAAGUAACUAUGCACGUCUUGACGGUACCUAAUCAGAAAGCCACGGCUAACUACGUG